UUGUGGACGUUGUGCAAAUAUCAC
rnacentral:siRNA from 1 species